rnacentral:misc_RNA from 1 species
AACGCACCUUGCACUCUUUGGUAUUCCGAAGAGUAUGUCUGUUUGAGUGUCAUGAAACUCUCAACCCCCCUGUUUUGUAAUGAGACCGGCGAGGGCUUGGAUUAUGGUUGUCUGUCGGUUCUAAUCGAAUCGGCUCGACUGAAAUACAUGAGCGACCACACUGGAAUACAGCGACGGCUUGACUCGGCGUAAUAAUUAAUCUAUUCGCUGAGGACGUCCAAUUUCAAAGAGGCGCUUCUAAUGCAAUCACCUUUAAGCUUUAGACCUCAAAUCAGUCAGGACUACCCGCUGAACUUAA